rnacentral:rRNA from 1 species
UACGGAGGGUCCAAGCGUUAUCCGGAAUCAUUGGGCUUAAAGGGUCCGUAGGCGGUUUUGUAAGUCAGAGGUGAAAGCCCAUCGCUCAACGGUGGAACGGCCAUUGAUACUGCAAGACUUGAAUUAUUGGGAAGUAACUAGAAUAUGUAGUGUAGCGGUGAAAUGCUUAGAGAUUACAUGGAAUACCAAUUGCGAAGGCAGGUUACUGCCAAUAUAUUGACGCUGAUGGACGAAAGCGUGGGGAGCGAACAGG